UUGAAGAGUUUGAUCAUGGCUCAGAUUGAACGCUGGCGGCAGGCCUAACACAUGCAAGUCGAACGGUAACAGGAAGCAGCUUGCUGCUUCGCUGACGAGUGGCGGACGGGUGAGUAAUGUCUGGGAAACUGCCUGAUGGAGGGGGAUAACUACUGGAAACGGUGGCUAAUACCGCAUAACGUCGCAAGACCAAAGAGGGGGACCUUCGGGCCUCUUGCCAUCAGAUGUGCCCAGAUGGGAUUAGCUUGUUGGUGAGGUAACGGCUCACCAAGGCGACGAUCCCUAGCUGGUCUGAGAGGAUGACCAGCCACACUGGAACUGAGACACGGUCCAGACUCCUACGGGAGGCAGCAGUGGGGAAUAUUGCACAAUGGGCGCAAGCCUGAUGCAGCCAUGCCGCGUGUAUGAAGAAGGCCUUCGGGUUGUAAAGUACUU
rnacentral:rRNA from 1 species